AGAGUUUGAUUCUGGCUCAGGAUGAACGCUAGCUACAGGCUUAACACAUGCAAGUCGAGGGGCAGCAUUGGAGUAGCAAUACUUCAGAUGGCGACCGGCGCACGGGUGAGUAACACGUAUCCAACCUGCCGCUUACUCGGGGAUAGCCUUUCGAAAGAAAGAUUAAUACCCGAUGGUAUAAAGAGUUCGCAUGUUCUCUUUAUUAAAGAAUUUCGGUAAGCGAUGGGAUGCGUUCCAUUAGAUAGUUGGCGGGGUAACGGCCCACCAAGUCUACGAUGGAUAGGGGUUCUGAGAGGAAGGUCCCCCACAUUGGAACUGAGACACGGUCCAAACUCCUACGGGAGGCAGCAGUGAGGAAUAUUGGUCAAUGGACGAGAGUCUGAACCAGCCAAAGUAGCGUGAAGGAUGACUGCCCUAUGGGUUGUAAACUUCUUUUAUAAGGGAAUAAAGUGAGGGACGUGUCCCUUUUUGUAUGUACCUUAUGAAUAAGGAUCGGCUAACUCCGUGCCAGCCGCCGC
rnacentral:rRNA from 1 species